UACGUAGGUGGCAAGCGUUAUCCGGAAUUAUUGGGCGUAAAGCGCUCGCAGGCGGUUUCUUAAGUCUGAUGUGAAAGCCCACGGCUCAACCGUGGAGGGUCAUUGGAAACUGGGAGACUUGAGUGCAGAAGAGGAGAGUGGAAUUCCACGUGUAGCGGUGAAAUGCGUAGAGAUGUGGAGGAACACCAGUGGCGAAGGCGACUAUCUGGUCUGUAACUGACGCUGAGGAGCGAAAGCGUGGGGAGCAAACAGG
rnacentral:rRNA from 1 species